rnacentral:rRNA from 1 species
GUGUCAGCCGCCGCGGUAAUACGGAGGGUGCAAGCGUUGUUCGGAAUUACUGGGCGUAAAGAGCGUGUAGGCGGUUAAGCAAGUCAGAUGUGAAAGCCUUCCGCUUAACGGGAGAAUGGCAUUUGAAACUACUUGGCUGGAGUUCGGGAGAGGAGAGUGGAAUUCCCGGUGUAGAGGUGAAAUUCGUAGAUAUCGGGAGGAACACCGGUGGCGAAGGCGGCUCUCUGGCCCGGUACUGACGCUGAGACGCGAAAGCGUGGGGAGCAAACAGGAUUAGAUACCCGGGUAGUCC